GAAAUGCGAUAAGUAAUGUGAAUUGCAGAAUUCAGUGAAUCAUCGAAUCUUUGAACGCACCUUGCGCUCCUUGGUAUUCCUUGGAGCAUGCCUGUUUGAGUAUCUUGAAAUCUUCAAAGUAAAUCUUUUGUUAACUCAAUUGGUUUCUACUUUGGUAUUGGAGGUCUUUGCAGCUUCACACCUGCUCCUCUUUGUUCAUUAGCUGGAUCUCAGUGUUAUGCUUGGUUCCACUCGGCGUGAUAAGUUAUCUAUCGCUGAGGACACUGUAAAAGGUGGCCAAGGUAAAUGCAGAUGAACCGCUUCUAAUAGUCCAUUGACUUGGACAAUACUUUUAUGAUCUGAUCUCAAAUCAGGUAGGACUACUCGCUGAACUUAAGC
rnacentral:misc_RNA from 1 species